AUUGAACGCUGGCGGCAGGCCUAACACAUGCAAGUCGAACGAGUGGCGGACGGGUGAGUAAUGUCUGGGAAACUGCCUGAUGGAGGGGGAUAACUACUGGAAACGGUAGCUAAUACCGCAUACCAUCAGAUGUGCCCAGAUGGGAUUAGCUUGUUGGUGGGGUAACGGCUCACCAAGGCGACGAUCCCUAGCUGGUCUGAGAGGAGGACCAGCAACACUGGAACUGAGACACGGUCCAGACGCCUACGGGAGGCAGCAGUGGGGAAUAUUGCACAAUGGGCGAAAGCCUGAUGCAGCCAGGCCGCGUGUAUGAAGAAGGCCUUCGGGUUGUAAAGUACUUUCAGCGGGGAGGCGUUUCUGGCAGAAGAAGCACCGGUUAAUUCCGUCUCAGCAGCCGCGGUAAUAC
rnacentral:rRNA from 1 species